rnacentral:rRNA from 1 species
UACAACUUUCAACAACGGAUCUCUUGGCUCUCGCAUCGAUGAAGAACGCAGCGAAAUGCGAUAAGUAAUGUGAAUUGCAGAUUUUCAGUGAAUCAUCGAAUCUUUGAACGCACCUUGCGCCCCUUGGUAUUCCGAGGGGCAUGCCUGUUUGAGUGUCAUA